UACCAGAGCCAGAGGGCAGUGCGGAA
rnacentral:piRNA from 1 species